UACGUAGGGGGCUAGCGUUGUCCGGAAUCAUUGGGCGUAAAGCGCGCGUAGGCGGCCAGAUAAGUCCGGUGUGAAAGUCACAGGCUCAACCUGUGAAUGCCGCUGGAAACUGUCUGGCUUGAGUCCGGAAGGGGCGAGUGGGAUUCCUGGUGUAGCGGUGAAAUGCGCAGAUAUCAGGAGGAACACCAAUGGCGAAGGCAGCUCGCUGGAACGGUACUGACGCUGAGGCGCGAAAGCGUGGGGAGCGAACAGG
rnacentral:rRNA from 1 species